GACGAACGCAGGCGGCGUGCUUAACACAUGCAAGUCGAACGGAAAGGCCCUGCUUUUGUGGGGUGCUCGAGUGGCGAACGGGUGAGUAACACGUGAGUAACCUGCCCUUGACUUUGGGAUAACUUCAGGAAACUGGGGCUAAUACCGGAUAGGAGCUCCUGCUGCAUGGUGGGGGUUGGAAAGUUUCGGCGGUUGGGGAUGGACUCGCGGCUUAUCAGCUUGUUGGUGGGGUAGUGGCUUACCAAGGCUUUGACGGGUAGCCGGCCUGAGAGGGUGACCGGCCACAUUGGGACUGAGAUACGGCCCAGACUCCUACGGGAGGCAGCAGUGGGGAAUAUUGCACAAUGGGCGGAAGCCUGAUGCAGCAACGCCGCGUGCGGGAUGACGGCCUUCGGGUUGUAAACCGCUUUCGCCUGUGACGAAGCGUGAGUGACGGUAAUGGGUAAAGAAGCACCGGCUAACUACGU
rnacentral:rRNA from 1 species